CGAUUCCACAAAGCUUCACUUUUUGAUGUCCUUUUGUUUUCUCUUUCUCUUUCUUCCAUAUACAUCUACCUCCUCUUUGUUUUCUGUACAACAACCACCGUUUCAAACCCUACAUGCCAUCACCGUUUCAAAACUCAUUCGGCCAUCACCGUUUCAAAACUCAUUCGACCAUCACCGUUUCAACCGCAUAAACUAGAUCUGUUGAUUAAACUGCAGCAAGAGAAACACUGAGCAACCCAAGUAUUUGCUUUUGGAUUGUCAAUUCGAUUUCAAGCAAAGAAGAUAGAGAUCUGUUUGUGGGUUGUGGUUUUGUUUCAAGCGAAUAGUUGAUGGCGGCAUAUUUGAAGUUUUCGGUGAUUUCACUUAUGUGUGCGAUUUCGCGAUGGUAGAUCUGUUGUAAAGCUCUAAACUUUCUGCAUAUAUUUGUGUAUAUAUUUUUGGUAUUUUAUAUGUUCAUAUUUUAGGGUUUCUUCUCGAUACAUAUAUUCAGAUUUUAGGAUUUCAAUGUGAGAAAAUGAAGCAUCGACAUGGGAAGUAGCUCCAAAGUGAGUGUUGGCCAGCCACGGUUGCCGGGGAAAACCACUGUUGUUAGAAUAUAGUCAAGAUAGCAGCUUCUUAAGGUGGUGAGAAAGGUCUCUUUUAUGGGUGGGUGCUACUUCAAAUAAAGCACAACUGAAGCCUCGCACAAAUCGAUGAUGCUUAAUGAAACGUAUUUUAGAAAAACCUAAAUGGUGAGGAAACGUAGGUUUGCUUGAGGAAAAGCUUCAUGCACUUCGUCACAAGAUUCACCAGGUACAAUGCAAAGACAUGCUCAAGAAAAAGAUGAAGAAAAAGUAUUCCGAGCUUCGAGAGUCGGAGAAUGAUUUAUGAUAUGCUAUAAAGGUGCUUCAACAUACCGCAUCAUUGCCAUCAAAACCUUACAAUUAGAUCCAUUACGAUACUGUCACUUCUGCUUGAUAUCUUCAAAACCUUACUAUUAGAUCCAUUAUUUUGCAAGUGACACUGAAGCCAUCAUUGCCAAGGAAAGAGCAACAACUGAAGACUUUCUGUUGUGUCACAUACCCUAAAAGAAAAUAGAAGACCAGAGGUGAGGUUAUGCAGUUCUUUCUAUUACAAUUAGGUGUUAAAUUUUUUUAGUAUUUUUUUAUCUUUUCAUCUAAGAAUAACAGCACAUUGGCCGAAAAUCAUGUUUAGAUUGCAAACUCCUUAUACUUAUAGUUCCAUUGUUUCAUCUUACUGGUUUUGUGAAGGGGUUCUUAGAGUUUGUCGUAACGUUACUAAAAUCUUCUAAACACUGAAUUUCAUUUUUGAUUUUGUUAAUUUGUUCGGUUUUAAAAAUUAUUAUAGAGUUUCGCUAAGUCUUCGAUUACGGGUGAAAAUGAUUAAUUUUAGCAUGUUGGGUGAAACAUGAUGAUUUCAUGGUAAAUGCCAUUGGCUGCAAACAAGACUUCUCUGUUGUAAUUUCAUCGUAACUGCUACGGUGGUUAUGAAACUGCGUAUAAUUGAGUUAAAUUGAUGAAAUAGAAUGCUUAGAAUGACGAGAUGAUAAUGGCUUUAUGGUUGACAGUUUCAUAAUACAUUAAAAUAUCUAUGCGGGUUGAAGUAUUAAGGCUGCAACUUCUCAAAUAUAUUAAUGCUGCAACUUCUCAAAUAUAUUAAUGCUGCAACUUCUCAUUAUGUAAGAUUGGGAUUGUUUUUGAAGGCAUGAAGGUGGCUAGCAGUUGACUGAUUUUGUAUUUAUGCUGAUUAGCAUUUUUGGCAGAGGUUGGUCAUUGCUUUUGAUGCAGGACUUAAUGUUGAUGAAAAAUGGUUUGAUAAAAUUCUGCAAUGUUUAAUUGAUGAAU